GCUCCGGUGGUCCAAGUGGUUAGAACAUCCGUCUCAGAUGCGGGAGGUCGCGGGUUCUAACCCGGCUGAGUCA